UUGAAAAAAGUUGAAUUUGGUUGCUUUUAAUAUUACUCUAAAAAUCAGAGGGUAGGUGAGUUAAUCCUUCUAAUCUGCAAAUAUUUUGAACUCACAUGCUUAAAUCCCUGCUAGGAAAAGUAUGCCCCUCCCUUCAAGCAGCUUUUAAUUUAAUUGGGGGUGAAAUAGAUAUGGAUUAUAGAUGGAGGAGUUCAAGGCUACCUUCACGCUGGUUUCCUCAGUGCCUGGCGAACAAUCCUUGGUAAGUUUUUGUUGAACCAUGUUGAAUGAACGCAACUGCAAGGUACAUUUACUAAAAUGCUCAGUUCUCUGGGUUUAGCAUGGAAAAGCGAGGGUUUCAUAGACUAAGAUGGGGGAACAGAAGGCAUGGUGGUUUGAGCUGGGUACUAUAGGGCAAGAAAUGGAGAAGUGAUUCUGGGUGAGGAGAAGCAAGAAGGCCAAACACUGGCAGUGGGAGGAGGGAGAGGAGGGAAGGAGGGCAUGUUUGCCUUACUGGAGCACUGGAUGCAGCGUGCGCAUGUUCGGAGGAUAAAGGGGAAAUGCUUAACAGCUUUGCUUAAAAUGCUUAAAUUCUCUCUGGCAACAGUUAAAAUCUCUAGGGAGCCAAGCAGAUUUAAAAACAAAAAACAAAAAACAAAAAAACCCCUGCAAGUUACACUACAUUUGGAUGUGUAGAGUUUUAAUAUUAUGGCUAAGUUGCAAGGGUAUAAAUCACUGCUCUUCUGUAUGUACCCAUGUGCCCUAGUUCCCUCAGGACUGCCCCUCUCCUCCUCUGAAAUACUUGACAUGUGUCAGAAUCGUCACAUGCACUCACCUGCUUCAAUGAUGCAGAAAGGAAAAUGACUUGAAGAAAAUCUAAAACUGAAUUUGAUCACAGAAGGGUCCAAAGGAGAGGGGAAGAGUUCUCGAGCCUUCCGAGGGUGGCUCAGCAAGAUUCUGAUGCCGGGAGAAAGGCAUAGAUUCAGCUUGCUAAUGCCUCCGGCAGAAUUCUUGCUCCAGGCUUGCAGAGAUCAGUGAGAGGGAGGCUGGAGCCAGGCACUGCUUCAAGACGGUUUGAAUUUGGCAAGACGGAGGGUGCUAGACCACAGUGACCUGGACAUGCCGCAAAGUCAAGAGUUGAAAACCAUCUCUCUGCUGCACUCCCAGAUGUUCUCCUUGAGGGGCUCAGCCUGAGGGAGGGAGCACAUCUCUGCUGAGCACAGACAGACAGGAUGCCUGUAUGUGUCCGUGCCUGGGUGCCGCCAGGACUAGCUUGCGGUUGUUGGAGCAACACCUACAUUUACUUCCGUUUAACACUGGCAUGGCUGAGUCAGGGUUAAAAGAAAAAAAAAAAAA